GAGUGAAGCUUGUGGGCAGUUUGUGUGAAAAACAAGACUAACGUGUCUGAGGGAAGGACCGCGCUGUCUGCAGCCUCACCGGGUAAGGAGGCAGCUUUGAAACUACUGCAAGAAGAACCAAGAAGGU
rnacentral:lncRNA from 1 species